rnacentral:rRNA from 1 species
ACGCUCGACACCUACGGGAGCAGCAGUGAGGGAUAUUGGUCAAUGGGGGAAACCCUGAACCAGCAACGCCGCGUGAGGGAUGACGGUCUUCGGAUUGUAAACCUCUGUCCUCUGUGAAGAUAAUGACGGUAGCAGAGGAGGAAGCUCCGGCUAACUACGUGCCCGCAGCCGCGGUAAUCUGAGCGGGCUGGCAAGGC